AUUGAACGCUGGCGGCAGGCCUAACACAUGCAAGUCGAGCGGAUGAAGGGAGCUUGCUCCUGGAUUCAGCGGCGGACGGGUGAGUAAUGCCUAGGAAUCUGCCUGGUAGUUGGGGAUAACGUCCGGAAACGGGCGCUAAUACCGCAUACGUCCUGAGGGAGAAAGGGGGGGAUCUUCGGACCUCACGCUAUCAGAUGAGCCUAGGUCGGAUUAGCUAGUUGGUGGGGUAAAGGCCUACCAAGGCGACGAUCCGUAACUGGUCUGAGAGGAUGAUCAGUCACACUGGAACUGAGACACGGUCCAGACUCCUACGGGAGGCAGCAGUGGGGAAUAUUGGACAAUGGGCGAAAGCCUGAUCCAGCCAUGCCGCGUGUGUGAAGAAGGUCUUCGGAUUGUAAAGCACUUUAAGUUGGGAGGAAGGGCAGUAAGUUAAUACCUUGCUGUUUUGACGUUACCAACAGAAUAAGCACCGGCUAACUUCGUG
rnacentral:rRNA from 1 species